rnacentral:rRNA from 1 species
UACGAAGGGGGCUAGCGUUGUUCGGAAUCACUGGGCGUAAAGGGCGCGUAGGCGGCUUUGAUAAGUCGGGGGUGAAAGCCUGUGGCUCAACCACAGAAUUGCCUUCGAUACUGUAUGGCUUGAGACCGGAAGAGGUAAGUGGAACUGCGAGUGUAGAGGUGAAAUUCGUAGAUAUUCGCAAGAACACCAGUGGCGAAGGCGGCUUACUGGUCCGGUUCGUGAACGCUGAGGCGCGAAAGCGUGGGGAGCAAACAGG